AUGGGGGGCGUACGGCAUCGACGUACAAAGCUGGAUUUGUCCUCCGGAGGCAUCACACCGUCUGUACGGAGCCUCAGGUCCGCACUCCCGGAUCGAGCAUACAUCGGCAUGCCAAACCCCUCCAUCUACACCGGCAUGCCAAACCCCUCCAUCUACACCGGCAUGCCAAACCCCUCCAUCUACACCGUCAUGCCAAACCCCUCCAUCUACACCGUCAUGCCAAACCCCUCCAUCUACACCGUCAUGCCAAACCCCUCCAUCUACACCGUCAUACCAAACCCCUCCAUCUACACCGUCAUGCCAAACCCCUCCAUCUACACCGGCAUGCCAAACCCCUCCAUCUACACCGUCAUGCCAAACCCCUCCAUCUACACCGUCAUGCCAAACCCCUCCAUCUACACUUUGGAAAUUAAGUAUUUUUUUAGCAAUGUAUUGUUAAAAUAUAUAUUUUUAUUAUCGAGCUAAUUUGUGUUAUUUUUAGAAUCAGACUUGGUACAUCUGUAUUGGACUAUACACACUGCAGGGACAUGUGUGGGCUCUGGGGCCGUGUGGCUCUGCGGCUCUGGGUCAUUUGGGUCUCUAUAGAGGUUGGAUAGCUCCGUUCCUUCAGCACGAGACCGCACAGGACAGCAGCACACUGUAAAUUCUCCAUUUAGGAUGGCUAGAGAGGGUGGUAGUGGCGAGAAAUAAUUCCAUUGAUUUAAAUAGAAAUGCCUCUCACAAAUGGGAAUUGAUGAACUCAUUGGACUACUAGAGGAACCCGAUGCCAUUUACAAGGAUUUAUUCUCCUGUGGCUGGGAUGGGAGCGGCUUGGCCCCCAAAAAAAGGCUUCUGCCCAAAUGGCACACUAGUCCCUUUGUAGUGCACUAGGUUGAACCUGGGCCUGGUCAACAGUAGUGCACUUUUUUUAACCUGUGCCUGGUUAACAGUAGUGCACUAGUUUUAACCUGGGCCUGGUUAACAGUAAUGCACUAGGUUUAACAUGGGCCUGGUUAACAGUAGUGCACUAGUUUUAACCUGGGCCUGAUCAACAGUAGUGCACUAGGUUUAACCUGGGCCUGGUCAACAGUAGUGCACUAGUGUUAACCUGGGCCUGGUCAACAGUAGUGCACUAGGUUUAACCUGGGCCUGGUCAACAGUAGUGCACUAGGUUUAACCUGGGCCUGGUCAACAGUAGUGCACUAGGUUUAACCUGAGCCUGGUUUACAGUAGUGCACUAUACAGGAAAUAGGGUACCAUUUUGGGACUCACAAGGGAAAAGGAGAGAAGAUACCUGGACGGGGAAGGUUUUUUAACCUUGAAGAAAAAAACUGCAUCUCUGUUUAUUUAGAAAAUGAUCUAGAGGCCAGCUGGAUAUAGUCAAUGCUACUGUGUGCUAGUUUCUAUCUUAGUUGUUUUACAUAUUAGAAAGGCUAACUUUAUAUUUAAUCACUGAGAUUUACGUUAGGUCAUAAGUGUUAAUGAGUCCUUAGUCCCAAUUCUCCAGUCCUUUUUCCCUGACGUGUGCACUACCCCACACAGAUUUAAAAGCGUAUGAUUGGGACACAAGGGGAUUGUUAGUUGUGUUACUUGUCAGGAUGUCGGCCAUGUUGUGUCAUGGCAAAUGUAGUUCAGUGAAAUGGAGUCAGUCCCAUCCCAUUUCUUCAUCGCUCUUUUUGGGGCAUUUUCUACUGUGAACCGAAAUGAACCGUUUGUUCAUAGUACAUGGCAAUGGUAGGAAUGAGACUCAAAGAUGCAGACCGAGAAGAUAUGAGACCAUAGUAACAUCUUCAUGGGAUUUCCAGACGUUUCUGUUGGCCUUUUUGGUUGAGUUCAGGCCAGUCUGCUCCCCAGGUGAAAGAUGACCUCACCAGUUGAGAUGAGAUCAGACCAGUUCAGACCAGUUGAGAUCAGACCAGUUCAGCCAACUUGAGAUAUCUAAUAGAGGCCAGAUGGAUGAAGACAUGCUGUUGCCUGCUAGUUUCAGUGGUAGUCUUCCCAUCUCUGGCUGACAGACUUGUUCAGUUAUAUUACAUAAGGCAGUCUGUCUAGAGACAUUUUUAUUUUCUCUUUCUGAUACAGGAUAACCCCGUCUCCCCGUCUGUCUAGACCUCGUCUGUCUGGACCGCGUCUCCCCGGUCUGUCUAGAGCUCGUCUGUCUGGUCCUCGUCUCCCCCGUCUGUCUAGACCUCGUCUCCCCCGUCUGUCUAGACCUCGUCUCCCCCGUCUGUCUAGACCUCGUCUCCCCCGUCUGUCUAGACCUCGU
rnacentral:lncRNA from 13 species